UACGAAGGGGGGCUAGCGUUGCUCGGAAUUACUGGGCGUAAAGCGCACGUAGGCGGCUCUUUUAAGUCGGGGGGUGAAAUCCUGGGAGCUCAACUCCAGAACUGCCUUCGAUACUGUAGAGCUUGAGUUCGGGAGAGGUGAGUGGAACUGCGAGUGUAGAGGUGAAAUUCGUAGAUAUUCGCAAGAACACCAGUGGCGAAGGCGGCUCACUGGCCCGAUACUGACGCUGAGGUGCGAAAGCGUGGGGAGCAAACAGG
rnacentral:rRNA from 1 species